rnacentral:rRNA from 1 species
GAUCCUGGCUCAGGAUGAACGCUGGCGGCGUGCCUAACACAUGCAAGUCGAACGGAGCUGCUUUGAUGAAGUUUUCGGAUGGAUUUAAAACAGCUUAGUGGCGGACGGGUGAGUAACGCGUGGGUAACCUGCCUCACACUGGUGGGAUAACAGUUAGAAAUAGCUGCUAAUACCGCAUAAGCGCACGGUUCCGCAUGGAACAGUGUAGAAAACUCCGGUGGUGUGAGAUGGACCCGCGU